rnacentral:lncRNA from 1 species
UUGGGAACCCAUUUGACCUUCUGAAAAACAAGCUUUUCUUUAGUUAUAAACAUCCAUCUCAGUAAGUAUUGACUUGAAGCUGAAAGAAAAGCCUUAGUUGGCCAUGCUGGAAGAAGAGGAUGCUUUUCUGGUUCAUGGUUCUGUUGAAACAUAUCUACCUGAAAGAGACAGGGCUGAUGUUACCUUUUUCCACUUUGCACUACCUGGUGCCAUUCUAAAUUUCUAAGGGGAAAAAUAGAAAGUUUGUUUACUCUUAAGAUAUUUUAUGAAAUUGUGUGUACUUUCCUAUUUUGCCAAUUAUGUGCCUCAAAGAUUUUAGUUGAGCCUUAGCAAGAAAGUAGGACCUUCCAUUUCAAUACUUCAUUAACACGGUGUAGUGAUACUUUGUCCCUUAGACUGGUGUUUACCAGUAAGAUACCUUUAAUCCACUGUUAAGUAUGAGUGGAUUUGUUUCCAUAGAUUAGCUGGAUUUCCUUUUGGUGAUUGCAUUAGGUUUAAAGUACACAGGUCUCAACUCUCCCCAGGAAAGUUUCCCCUGUUUGACUCCACCUUUAAAAUCCUAAGCCUGACUAGGACAGCCACAAACCACACAAGGUGUAAAACCAUCAUCAGCUAAGUGCCCGUUUUGUUCUUGUUUACCAGAAUCUCCUUUAACUUCU